GCUAAUAUUUAGGUUAGUGAGUGUGGCCGUGGUGUGGAAAAUUUGCACCACAUGAAUGAGAUUUGAAAACAAUCAGCCACCCCCCAUAUGGACAUAUAGGUCGCAAGGAUUGGGCCAGAAUGUGACACCAACAAUGUAAGAACAAGUCUUGGAGAAACCAACCUCAACACAAUCGAUCAGCUACCACAUAACACAUCACAUAUGUUUAAUACCAGUGGUAGUCUAGCCUCCGUUUGUUUUAUCUGUGGUAAGCAAAAGGGUGAAGGGAAAGGGAUGCAUUGCUUCUCUGUAUUCCAGGACAUUCUCACGGUCGUGACCAGACCGCCACUCAUUCGGCUACGUCAUAACCGUGACAGGUCGGCUGCCUUCGGUACGAUAAAUGUCGUCCCCGGGAGUGACGAUAAUGACAACAUAUGCUCAUUCUACCACACGACUAUGGGCGAUAAACUCGGCGUGGAUGCAUGCCUUCUUUAAACGACAAUCACCUGUAGUCACCUCUUGUGUAGUCUAUAGAUAGCCACACUAGUGGUGUGCUUAUGGAGAUGAAACUACACAACAUAUUUCAACCAAUAGUCCCACACUGCUCCAAGACCCCAUUGCUGUCAAACCACACUGUAAGGAACUUGUGUAACAUACCACCUACUACAUAACUUUGGACACACGUCGUGUUUUUCUCUUUUUUCUCUUCCUGUGGUAACUAGUGUACCCUUUAACCAAACACCUUUACACCCAGGCAGUUUCCUAGCAACAUCCCCGCAUGUUAAUCAGAGACUGGUGGCUUGCAAAGACCAUCACAUCUCACCGAGCACCAAACACCACCCGCGCCUGUAGUAAGCUACACCCGUUUUAGACUCACCUAAAGACCCACCGACGAAUCCGGUUGUGUUUGUUGUCUCCACUCUUCAGACCCGAGUUCGUAGGCGGCAGCUCACGCGACCAGGUAGCCUUCCCAUUAGGGCAAGAAUCCUCCACGUAACAAGAAAGGCUGGCUUUCGUCGUUUCGUGUUAGUUUAUUUUCUCAAACCUACGCGAGAUAUACAUAUUAAAGCGCGUUUCCAUAUUGUUGGUUAUGUAUAGGCUACACGGAACAGACGUAUCCAACUGUAAUUGUAUAUACUCCCAUAGAACACGGGUUUCCAGAACCGAGCAGCCUCAAGAAAGCAAGCCGAAGCGAAAGGACGUCACGUUUUGACAGCCGACAUACGAGCCGCGGCUGUAGUAGUAAUAGUAGCUGUGUCCUUCAGUUCACUGUAGCUUCACUGCUGAAUUCGCGAACAAAGUGUUUGCUUGCUUGUGCGUCCUCCUUUACAAUAGCUGACAACGUGUCAUAUUUUCGCGAUUCAACAGAGCGCGAAGCGAGACGAGAGCGAAAAGUCCUUGCCAUUCUAUAAAGUGUAAGAGGUGUCCCGCCUGUUUUGCUUGGUGCGGGCAGACCCCUUCCGUUCCGUAACGAGUUUCAUUCUGGCUUGCCCUCAGCCAAGACAUCAUAGGGUACAGCGCACCGCCUGCUGGAGGGAGAAGGUAUUACAUUAAUGUGCGGACCCGGACGCUCCGUUCCCACGCAUUGUCCUGAUUUACUAGACGUGGCAUCCGAAAAUGUCGCCCAGGUAAAAGUUACAUUGAUUCAUCUAUAUAAUAGUUCAUAUGAAAUAGUUCAUAUGCAAGCUUUGGUAUGCUUCUCUGUGUCCUGGUGGAUAGUGAAAGCAUCCCCCAUUACACCAACCACACAGGCCUUAAUGUAUAACUUUAUAAUUUCUGGCCUUGUGUUAAAUCGUAUGUUAAAAUGUUAAAAAGUUUUCUAUUAUGCUUAUGUUAAUUCAUUUUUAUUUUAUUGUAUUAUUAUAGUUCGUUUUUAAUAUGUUGGCACUCUGAGAUUCUUUUGAAUGAAGAGUGCAUUACAAAUAAAAUAAAUUAUUAUUAUUAUUAUUAUUAUUAUAACCUAACUUAUGGAGAAUGCAUUUCUGCAUGCAUACAAAAUCAUACUAAACAC
ensembl:lncRNA